rnacentral:rRNA from 1 species
UACGUAGGUCCCGAGCGUUGUCCGGAUUUAUUGGGCGUAAAGCGAGCGCAGGUGGUUUAUUAAGUCUGGUGUAAAAGGCAGUGGCUCAACCAUUGUAUGCAUUGGAAACUGGUAGACUUGAGUGCAGGAGAGGAGAGUGGAAUUUCAUGUGUAGCGGUGAAAUGCGUAGAUAUAUGGAGGAACACCGGUGGCGAAAGCGGCUCUCUGGCCUGUAACUGACACUGAGGCUCGAAAGCGUGGGGAGCGAACAGG